rnacentral:lncRNA from 1 species
UCCGAUUGGGUCUGGCAGAGGUUCCUUCCUCCUUAGCUUUCUUGGAUCCCUCUGCCUUGCAUGCGAGACCGAUACACUUGAAAUGACACAUCACAAAGAUUUCUCUUUGUUGCUCAGUGGCCAACUUUGUAAGAAGGCUGGUUUCUACAAAGAGCUUGGUGCUAAAAUCAAAGAGGUUAUCCAUCUUACUAUAGAGAAUAUUGACCUUGGAUUCAAGAUCUUUGCCCAUCAUCCAGUAAGAAUCAAUCCCCUGACCACUAUUGUUGCACAUGGUUUGGAGCUAGCAUUUUGCUCAUCAUACAAUGGCAUUUUGCUCAGAAUGAUUCUUUUUCCACGGCUAGGUUUAUGUGGGACUUCGCCUACGAGCAACGUGGCGAGCAACCCGUACAUGGUGUUUGGCCCGUCGUCGGAAUCGGAAUCACGCGAGACACUCUAAAAUCUGAGUUGCUGCCAUAGACAACACCUCUUAUAGUAUUAGUUGGUCAUACAGUACAUUGAGAAGAUGUAGGCAUAACGAUAUGAGAUGGCGUUGACCAUCAUUUGAACAAAUAUAAUUUUAGCUCUAGCCUGCCUUGCAUGGCGCUCAUGUAAGGUAAGCAUAGCACCGCUCCCUAGUCGUAUAUGUC